UUCGCAAUGCCCGAAAGGGUGACGAAGCGACGCCGCGUGUGGGAAGAAGGCCCUAGGGUUGUAAACCGCUGUCGGGAGUUAAGAAGUGCAAGGGUGUUAAUAGCAUCUUUGCUUGACUAAGGCUCCGGAGGAAGCCACGGCUAACUCUGUGCCAGCAGCCGCGGUAAUACAGAGGUGGCAAGCGUUGUUCGGUAUUAUUGGGCGUAAAGAGCACGUAGGUGGUUUUGUAAGUCAGAUGUGAAAGCCUUCUGUUCAAAGGAAGAACGGCAUCUGAAACUACAGAUCUUGAGUGUAGGAGGGGAGAGUGGAACUUCUGGUGGAGCGGUGAAAUGCGUAGAUAUCAGAAGGAACGUCGGCGGCGAAAGCGACUCUCUGGCCUAUUACUGACACUGAGUGUGCGAAAGUUAGGGGAGCAAACGGGAUUAGAUACCCCGGUAGUCCUAACUAUAAACGAUGGGCACUAAGUAGAGGGGUUUU
rnacentral:rRNA from 2 species